rnacentral:rRNA from 1 species
AACGAACGUUGGCGGCAGGCUUAACACAUGCAAGUCGAACGCCACCUUCGGGUGGAGUGGCAGACGGGUGAGUAACGCGUGGAAACAUACCUUUUGCUUCGGAAUAUUCCCGGGAAACUGGGAGCAAUACCGAAUGUGCCCUGAGGGGGAAAGAUUUAUCGGCAAAAGAUUGGUCCGCGUUAGAUUAGGUAGUUGGUAGGGUAAAGGCCUACCAAGCCUACGAUCUAUAGCUGGUCUGAGAGGAUGAUCAGCCACAUUGGGACUGAGACACGGCCCAAACUCCUACGGGAGGCAGCAGUGGGGAAUAUUGGACAAUGGGCGCAAGCCUGAUCCAGCCAUGCCGCGUGAAUGAUGAAGGCCUUAGGGUUGUAAAAUUCUUUCACCGGGGACGAUAAUGACGGUACCCGGAGAAGAAGCCCCGGCUAACUUCGUGCCAGCCGCCGCAGUAA